AAUUUCUGCUANCAGUAUUCGAUUAAUCCAUGCGAGUCAAAUGUUUUUCGUAAACAUGGCGUACUGCUCAGUAACACGUGGAUAAUCUGCCCUAAGGUUAGGUAUAACUCCGGGAAACUGGUGAUAAUCCCUAAUAUGCCAUAGAAACUGGAAUGUUCUGUGGCCGAAAGCUCCGGCGCCUUAGGAUGAAUCUGCGGCCUAUCAGGUUGUAGUGGGCGUAGUGUACCUACUAGCCGACGACGGGUACGGGUUGUGAGAGCAAGAGCCCGGAGAUGGAUUCUGAGACAUGAAUCCAGGCCCUACGGGGCGCAGCAGGCGCGAAAACUUUACAAUGCGGGAAACCGCGAUAAGGGGAUACUGAGUGCCAGCAUCUUAUGUUGGCUGUCCGCAUGUAUAAAUAGCAUGUGUUAGCAAGGGCCGGGCAAGACCGGUGCCAGCCGCCGCGGUAACACCGGCGGCCCGAGUGGUGGCCACUAUUAUUGGGUCUAAAGGGUCCGUAGCCGGUUUGAUCAGUCUUCCGGGAAAUCUGACAGCUCAACUGUUAGGCUUCCGGGGGAUACUGUCAGACUUGGGACCGGGAGAGGUAAGAGGUACUACAGGGGUAGGAGUGAAAUCUUGUAAUCCUUGUGGGACCACCAGUGGCGAANGCGUNUUACCAGAACGGGUCCGACGGUGAGGGACGAAAGCUGGGGGCACCGAACCGGAUUAGAUACCCGGGUAGUCCCAGCCGUAAACGAUGCUCGCUAGGUGUCUGGGACNGUGCGACCGUUUNAGNUGCCGCAAGGAAGCCGUGAAGCGAGCCNCCUGGGAAGUACCGCCGCAAGGCUGAACU
rnacentral:rRNA from 1 species